AGAAUGCAGUGCAAAACAAUAGAUGGAAAGAAUGAACAAAAUGUUAUGAGACAUGAAUGACAGCUGUAAAAGUUCCACUAUCUGCUUAAUAUGAAUUACAGGAGAGAAGAAAAUUAAGGAAGGAGAGUGCCUAAAACAAGGCAAAAAUUUAAGACAAUUUCUUAGAAAUUGGAAAUACUCAUAUUGAGAGGAACCAGUGAAUAUUUACAGGAAGAAUGUAAAAAGACUGACAUGUAAGUAAAUCAUGAUAAAAUUUCAGGAUACUAAGGAUAAGGAGGAAACUGAAUGUUUUCAGCGUGAAAACAAUUGUGUGGGAUGGAAUAAGAUCGAUACCAGACUUCACAUUGGCAACAUGGGUUCUGUGCAUGAUCCUGCAUCCGUAAAACUGAGAAACCAACAGAAUGAGGACAGAAUGAAAAAAGAAAAAAACUUUCAGAAUGUUCUUCCUUUCCUCAAUGCCAUACAGUUUGUGCAGUCAGCUGAUUGGCUGAAAAGAGUCAGUUUUGACGACUGAUGCUUCCUGCUCAUGUUUAGUUGGUUUAGGAAGCUCAUUAGGAUGCUAUCUCGGAGAUGAGUCUGGUGGGUAGAAUAUCUGAUGACUCUAAGGCAAAUGUACUUCCUUCAGCUGGUGAAUUAAUUUCUCAAUAGACUCAAUUUGCUUUUUACUGUCUGGCAAUAUCCCAUAUUUGCAAUGGCCUUUCAAACACUUGCAAUAAAAUGUGGCUCACACAUACAACCUGUUAGCGGUGAAAGAGAAACAUUCAUCACAUUCAAAAUUCUCCAAACAUGAGAGCAGCUGAAUGUGCUUUAAGACAGUAUACCUAAUGAUACAUCUCUAUUUUCCCCUUCCUCUUACAAUCAUUUACACAGAUAUAUGAGAGGUAAAUAUGUGUUUAGAAAGUAUUAGUCAUCAUAGAUGUACCUCCAGUCAUCCAUUCAAAUGUAAACAUGGUAAAAUAUGCACUUGUACAAUUUUAUACUAUCAAUGAGUAUAGGUAGGUGAAAAUUAGUGUUGCCAGAAAAAAUUCAAACCAGAAAACUGAAAGUAUAGAAAAAUACUUUUUAUUUUGUCAUUGAAAAACCAUUUUAAAAUAAUAUAUCGUGUAGAAUAAAAAAUUCCAUGAAUAUAUACAUGUAAAUUAUACAUAUAUGUGAAUUUAAUUUUGUUAAAAGGUAAUUGGCAUCUGCAAUUUCAUGCAGUCUAAGUGAAACCCAUAAAGAAAUGUGUAUGAAAUAGGAAAGCAACAAAAGCUCAUAACAUUUUAAAAUUAGAAAUCAGAUUCAAAACCCAUCAUGAUCUAUUUUAAAUUUAUCUCUAUAACAUUUCAAUUGAGACAUAAAACACACUUUAUACAACAUGCCUCACUAUUUUAUUAACAGCAUGACUUCCCUUUCCCCAAUCCCCAAACCAUGUUCCCAUCUACACCCCACCCCACCCAAAUCUCACCUCUUCCAUUAGCAUUAUUACAAACAUAUUUUACAAAUCUUAUACCAAGCUUUUCCACUGUCUCUUUUCAAUGUAGAAAUAUCUUAUAUAUAAACCCAAAUACCACAAAUCUUCACAUUUAUAUUUUCUAAAGCAGUUAAACCUUUAUAGACAAUUCUACCUAAAAAGCCAAAUGUGCUUGACAAUAUGUCAUGUUAUGUUAAGUUGACCAGACACAGAAGUCAUUUCUGUCGGAUUUCUUGUCGAUGUUUGCAUUAAGUUGGAGCUUUCUGAUCUCGGCUCUUCUUGUGCCAGUAAUUUGAAAGGUCACCUCUCUGUUGGCCUUUGGUUUAUGCAAUGCAGUCUGGCAUUGCAUAAUUAAAAGUCUCGGCCGGGCACGGUGGCUCACGCCUGUAAUCCCAGCACUUUCGGAGGCCGAGGCGGGCGGAUCCCAAGGUCAGGAGAUCCAGACCAUCCUGGCUAACACGGUGAAACCCAGUCUGCACUAAAAAUACAAAAAAAUUAGCUGGAUGUGGUGGUGGGCGCCAGUAGUUCCAGCUACUCGCGAGGCAGAGGCAGGAGAAUGGCGUGAACCCGGGAGGGGGAGCUUGCGGUGAGCCAAGAUCGCGCCAUUGCACUCCAGCCUGGGCUACAGAGUGAGACUCCGUCUCAAAAAAAAGAAAGAAAAAAAAAGUCUUGUGAAUUUGUACAUAGAAUAUUGAAGUUAGAAGAGGCUUAUCACUCUCUGGGCUCUAAUACUGCCCAGAGGUUAUUUGUUUCUUGUUUCCAUAAGAAAAUCCUAUGUCUCUCCAUUAGCAUUCCUGAUCCUUACCUCCAAUUCAAAAUGUGGCCAGUUCCACCUUCUAAGCCUUUAUACCAAAUUGACUGGGUAGGUUUAUUAUGAAUCUGUGUUCUUGUCCAAACUCUACAUUAGACCUCGCAGGAGAGUUCAAACUAAAAACUAAUGAGUAAGUGCAAUAUUACAAUUGAAACGGGAGCAAACAUAAUUUCAAGUAGGACACAUAAAAACUGUGGGACCAAAAGAGGAAGAGUGCACGCCAAAUGUUCUCAAUUCUGAAAUGGCUCUUGUGAAAUAUCUAUGUGAAAACACUUCAAGGACCUGAAAAAAAAAAAAUGGUGAAAAAGCGAACAACCUUCCUUGCAAAACAACUCCAGAGUUAAUGCCAGAGCUUUCUAUCAAAACAUCCAUGUUAAGUUCGCCGGAAAGAUUCAGAAGAUCAAUGACAGGAGUAAGGGAAAAAACAAGGACAUUUUGUGAGUAGGAACGUAUAAUGACCCUGCAGCAGGAGAACGAGAGAGGGGGAAGAAGGAAAUGGAGGGUGUAAGUGAAUUAAUUGACUGUAACAUGUUUAAUGAAAUAAGUAGACGUGUGAUGCAAAUUUCUUAAUAGUCAAACGUUAUGCAACAUAUGAUGCAUAAGAAUUGUACUAUCUCAAAUUUUUUUUAAUGUGAGAUUCUCUUGAUGCCACUUUCAUUUACCUACACACACACAAAUAGCACAAAUCACAUAUACAUAUACUGACACGAAAAUAUAUAUGUGGGAGGGAGAGAAAGAGGGAGGAUAACUUUAAUCAUGAUACACUGCCAAUAUAAGAACUCCCUUUUGGCCAGGCGCGAUGGCUCACACCUGUAAUCCCAGCACGUUGGGAGGCUGAGGAGGGCGGAUCACGAGGUCAGGAGAUGGAGACCAUCCUGGCUAACACGGUGAAACCCCGUCUCUACUAAAAACACAAAAAAAAUUAGCCGGGCGUGGUGGCGGGCGCCCGUAGUCCCAGCUACUCAGGAGGCUGAGGCAGGAGAAUGGCAUGGACCCCGGAGGUGGAGCUUGCGGUGAGCCGAGAUCGUGCCACUGCACUCCAGCCUGGGCGACAGAGCGAGACUCCGUCCCCCUCAAAAAAGAAAAAAAAAAAAAAAACUCCCUUUUUAGAAAGAUCUUUUAUUCAACUUACCAAAAUUUUAAUUGCCAAUGGAACAGAAACCAGCACAAAUAAGAACUUGUAACUUACCCAGGUACAAGUGAAUUUCAAUGACUGAAAUUCAGGGGCAUUCUAAGCAAGAAUAGUUCAAUAGUAACUAAUCUCAUUAUUUUUCAUUUUUAUUAAGUCAUAUUUAUUAUUCAUAGUGUGAUUUCUCAUCAAGGAGUUAUUUAACAUGCCAAAAGCCUGCAUCUCUUUAACUAGGUCUUUAUGCAUAGGGAAUGUUUAAGUAUCCACAAAAGUAAUACAUACUAACCAAUUUUUUAGAGUUUAACAUAUAUAUUUGAAGAUAUGUUUUCCCCAAAUGUACAGUUCUUUGUGGCCUGGAUUGCCUCAGGAAACUGCCUCUGCCUGUUGUGGGUAUCAUGGCAAGUAAGGGCACUGGUAAUUUACUGCUGAGAAAAUGCCUAGCCGUUUGCCUAAUUAUGCCAUGUCAUCUUCCUCACACUACAGAGCACGGUAACCUCAUUUCCAAAAUCAAAGACAGAACAAAUCUGAACAGCUACUGUUCCUGAGGCAAACAAGUGAAUAAAUUCCAAAACAUGCCAUGGACUCACCGACGAUGAAUUUUAGACAAUUCUUUUUUUUUUUUUGGGACUACAGGCGCCCACCACCACUCCCGGCUAAUUUUUUUGUAUUUUUAGUAGAGACGAGGUUUCACAAUGUUAGCCAGGAUGGUCUCGAUCUCCUGACAUUGUGAUCUGCCGCCUCAGCCUCCCAAAGUGCUGGGAGUACAGGCGUGAACCACCGCGCCUGGCUGGAUUUUAGACAAUUCUACAUCGUCUGUUGAAUCUAUCGUCUGUUGAAUCAGCUUUCUAUUAACCACACACUAUAGAAGUGAAACGAACCUGUACUACCAAGAGUGUAUUAAUUUUGCAUGCAUUUCCUAGUAAACAAUGUAGACAGUAUUAAUUUUUAUGUUGCCAAGGUAAUAGUUUUGUCCCUCAACUCAUAUGCUAAAUUUUGCCUCACCUGGCUCAGUCAGAAGGAACAGAAUUGACAAUAUUAACUAGUCUCAGUUAUCUCCACUGACAGAAAAAAAAACGUGUUAUUUUCUACACGGACUGUGGGAAUCAGCAUUUUCUGUUAUUAACUUAAGAUUUUUUUUCUUGCCAUUUCUCUUUAUGAUCCCAAUGUAUUGAUGUAUUUCUAACACUACAACAAGAUUUGUGUCACUCAACUGUGUGUUGUAAUCAUUGUCUUUUAACCAUUUAUAUCCAUGAAACUGAUGUCAUUGAAAGAUAGAAAACAGAAACAAAAAGCAUAGAAGGGAGAGAGGGAGGAAGACUUUAGUCAUGAUACAAUGCCAAUGUAAGGACUCCUUUUAAGAAAGAUUUUAAAAAAUUUCUUCAUCAAAAUUUCCAUUGCCUCCUUGAAUGAACUGUGAAGGAUUGCAAAUUCCUUUAAAACUUGGUUUUGGCAACGAAUCUGGAUUUCCUUCAUUAGCCAGGUAUACAGAAUUCAUUUUCCAAUGCUCUAUUAAAAAUAAGAGGCUGGGCACGGUGGCUCACGCCUGUAAUCCCAGCACUUUGGGAGGCUGAGGCGGGUGGAUCACAAGGUCAGGAGAUGGAGACCAUCCUGGCUAACACGGUGAAACCCCGUCUCUACUAAAAAUACAAAAAAUUAGCCGGGUGUGGUGGCGGGCACCUGUAGUCCCAGCUACUCAGGAGGCUGAGGCAGGAGAAUGGCGUGAACCCAGGAGGCGGAGCUUGCAGUGAGCCGAGACUGCGCCACUGCACUCCAGCCUGGGCGACAGAGUGAGACUCCAUCUAAAAAAAAAUAAAAUAAAAUAAAAUAAAUAAAAAAGGGAAGAUUCCCUUAAUGUUUCCCAGUCUAUUAAAGGUUUCCUUCCAAAAGGAGCUCAUUCUGAUCCCAUUUAGUACAACACCCUCGUGUAUGCCAGAUGGCACAGGCAUCAUAGCUUCACAAAUGUCAUUCUGAUUCUCACCUUUAAAAUGAAAUUCCCUUAGUCUACCUUUCUUUACAUAAACUACAAAAUUGUAGACAAAGACAUGCCAAAUUAAAAGCCUCUUUUGCUAAAUAUUCUAGAAAUAAUUUGAGAAAAAUGGGCGCAAUUUGAGACCUUAGUUGUCUUGGAAAGGGAGUAGGUGGGUAUUUGACUAUGAUUCUGGUUGGUAUUUCUCCUGUUAACUAUUUAAAUGUGUGACCUUAAAAGAAAAUCAUUCAGUCUUGUUGAGACUAAUAAAUGUCUCACCCAAAAAAAAUGAACUUAAAAUUUCUCCUAUGUGUCUUAUAGCUCAAAAAUUUUCAAUUCUGUUUCAAGCCAUUCUAACAUCCUGGAUAUUUUCCUGGAUAUUAUAAUAUCCAGCUUAUAAUCUGCAUAGGUAAAGUUUUAUUUGUAUUAUGUUCCUUAGGUUUUGUUAAGUUUCUUGCAAGUAGGUUGAUAUUCUUUAAUGUUUAAGUAUUAAAUCUGAGGUGAGCUGAAUAGUUACCUGUUAUUGUUUUGUGUACUCAAUAAUUUACAGUAAAAUAUAUUUAGAAUUGUUAUAGUUGGUUAUUAGAAAUAGAGUUUCUACCUAUUGUGGUUUUUAAAGUACCUGUGGUCCAGGGGCAGUGGCUCACACCUGUAAUCCCAGGACUUUGGGAGGCCAAGGUGGGCGGAUCACUUGAGGUCGGGAGUUCAAGACCAGCCUAGCCAACAUGGCGAAACCCCGUCUCUACAAAAUAUACAAAAAUUAGCUGGGCGUGGUGGCGCGUACCUGUAAACCGAGCUACUUGGCAGGCUAAGGCACUAGAAUUGCUUCAACCUAGGAGGCGGAAGUUGUAGUGAGCCAAGAUCUUGCCUCCACACUCCAGCCUGGGUGACAGAGCAAGACUCUGUCUCAAAAAAAUAAAAAUAAAAGUGCCUGUGUAUGCAGUGG
rnacentral:lncRNA from 1 species